AGCGUGCGUGUCCCUACGGAGCUGAGACUGCACUUCCUGCGACGCCCCUGCAGCAGCAGCAGCGUGGUCAGAGCGAGCUUCUGAGAAGCGGUGGUGGGUUCCAUGUGAUGGUGGAGUAGGAGACGGGUCUCCGCGGUUCAUCUGCGUUGCUCUAAAUGGGACUGUUUCAUUAUUUUGAUGGCUGAAGAAUAUUUCCUAGUGUAUGUAUAUGAGAGUUUCUUGAUCUCUUUAUCUGUGGAUGAACAGCUACUUUGAAAUAUAUGAUACAUUUGUGUUAAGGCUAGUCACCCUGCUGUGGAAUAGAAGGCCAGAAUUGAUCACUAUCAUCUGAGAGUAACUUUGUACCCAUCACUGAUUCCUUCUGAGACUGCCUCCACUUCCCCAGCAGCCUCUGAUUUCUUCAUGUGGCUGCAGAUGGCAGGAUUUCCCAAAGGUUUAUGGCUGCAACAUAUUCCGUGGUGUAUCUGUACAGCAGUUUCCUCAUUCCUGCAGCUGUGUUUGAACAGGUCAUUUACCAUGCGGUCCUCCAGGUUCAACAGUAUGGCUCCAAAUGAUGAAAUUUCAUUCUGAUUUUCUGGCUGAAGACUAUUCUGUUUGUGUAUGUCCACCACAGUUACUUUAUCCCUUCAUCUGUGGAUGGGCAGUUGGUUGGCAGAGAAUUUGAACUGGAGAUGAACUUUAUUAUCCAGGAUGCUGAGAGUAUAACAUGCAUGACAGAGCUUUUAGAGCACUGUGAUGUAACAUGUCAAGCAGAAAUAGGGAGCAUGUUUACAGCCAUUCUAUGAAAAAGUGUUCGGAAUGUACAGACUAGCACAGAAGCUGGACUAAUUGAACAAGUAUUGCUGAAAAUGAGUGCUGUAGAUGACAUGAUAGCAGAGUACCUUCAAGUUUAAAUCUGAGAGUGAUAUUAAUUUGGCAGAACAUCAUAAACGGGUUUUGUAUGAUGGGAAACUUGCAAGUAGCAUUACCUUUACAUACACUGCUAAGGCUACUGAUGCUCAACUCUGCCUGGAAUCAUCGCCAAAAGAGAAUGCAUCAAUUUUUGUGCAUUCCCAACAUGCUCUAAUGCUUCAGAUUCAAGUGCUUUUUCCACUGUUUCCCCAAUUGGAUAAUCGGCAGCUCAAUGACAGUCAAGUGGAAACAACUGUCUGAUAUCCUGAUGCUAAUCAGAGCCACACAAGAAUGCAAACAUAUGCUUCACUGCCUACCUUCAGUCUCACGGGAGUUCUCUGGAUUUCUUGUAUCAGCUCGUGGACCUCUCUAGGAAGAUUGAGGACACUUUCCUGAAUUAUAUCCUCAAAAAUGUUUUCCAAGUUGCUUACAUUCUCUUCUUCUCUGUUAGAAAUGCCAAUAAGUCAGCCAGGCACAGUGGCUCAUGCCAGUAAUCCCAGCACUUUGGGAGGCCAAGGUGGGAGUAUCACUCGAGGCCAGAAGUUUGAGACCUACCUGGCCAGCAUGGCGAAACCCCAUCUCUACUAAAAAUACAAAAAUUAGCCAGACAUGGUGGCACAUGCCUGUAAUCUCAGAUACUUGGGAGGUUGAGGCACGAGAAUUGCUUGAACCCAGGAGGUGGAGGUUUCAGUGAGCCAAGAUCAUGCCACUGCACUACAGACUGGGUAACAGAGUGAAAUUCUGUCUCAAAAAAAAAAUGCCAAUAAGUCAUAGAUUUUGUUCCUUUACAUAAUCCUAUAUUUCUCAAAAGUUUGGUUCAUUAUUUUUAAAUUCCUUUUUUUAUUUUUGUCUGACUGGGUUGAUUCGAAGGUCUGGUCUUUGAGCUCUUAAAUUAUUUUUUCUAUUUGGUCUAGUCUGUUGCUAAGGCUGCCAACUGUUUUUUUAAAUUCCUAUAGUAAAUUUUUCAAUUCAAGAAGCUCUGCUUGGUUCUUUCUCAAUAUAGCUAUGUUGUCAUUCAAAUCCAGGAUCGUUGUUAUGGGGUUGUUGGAUUCAACUUUCUGUUGGAUUUUGGUGAAUUUUUUUGCCACUUAUAUCUUGAAUACUAUACCUGUCAUUUCAGACAUUUCAUUCUGGUUAGGACUCAUUGCUAGGUUGCUGGUGUAAUCCUUUGGAGGUGAUGGAACAUUCUGGCUUUUUGUAUCGCCAGAAUUCUUGUGCUGGUUUCUUCUCAUCUGAGAGACUUGAUGCUUCUUUUGUUGAAUUUGAUAUCAUUUGGAAGGAGGUUUUUUUUUUUAAUUUUUCAUUCUUUCUUUCUCUUAAGGGUGUGACUGUGGUGUAUGUUGUAUAGGAUCAAUUUGCUUCAUUUCUGGGUACUUUCAGAGGACCAAGGCUCUGUACAAGUUCCUUGGUUGCAGAUAGGCUCCUGUGGUGGCUUGAUGUGGUGAUGUAUUUUUGUUUGGUGGUGUAAUUCAGGCUUUAGUGCAGUAGAAAGUGCUUAAGAGUAACAGCUGGCUGCAGGGUCUUCUCCUCUGUGUACUUGUCCUCAACAGGUGCAGAAGUGACAAAGUGCCAAAAGUGCCCUGUCCCCAUGUGUACUAGUCUUCAGCAGGGGCAGAGUCCUGGAGAAACCUAAGAAGCAGCCUCUUUCAGCUCACGUUCCUUGGGCCCCAACAGGGUGACCACUACUGGGUCUGCAGCAGUGCACUAGGAAGGGGACAGAGGGCAAGAGAUGACCACCUCUCUAAAUCUGUUCCCAGGCUUUGGUGUGCCCCUUUCAGCAGCUGAUGUCAUGAUCGUGUUUCCUUUGACCCAAGGGGUGGGUUUGGCAAGCUGUAUUCCUCCUUCCCUUAGGGCUGGUCCUCACCAAAGUUUAGGUCUCCUGGGGAAUGGGGUUCACCUCCCCCCUGUUUUGUGGAGCUGAUGGGGUACUCUCUCAACUGACCAAGGGAGCAGGCUGGGACACCCAGCAAUGACACACACAGACCAGUUCCAGGUUGCAAAGCUGUUCUUGGCUGCAAGUCUCACCAUCCUUGAGAAACCUCUGCUUUAGCAACUCUCUUCCCACUACAGUCCUGCAAGAGGAGAGAGCCUAAUUCCAACACCUACUGCUGGGGCACUUUCCACACUCAACACUCAAUUCUGGCUGUGGAGGCUGCUCCCCUGCUCCAGAGCAAGCACUUCAAUUCCUAGCCCAAGAUUAAAGUGUCUGCAGUGGCCACCAUUGCCAGGCACCAAAGAAUGAUUGACUUUGUAUGAGCCCAGAUUUAAAAUGGCAUCCUUCGCUCAGUCCCAGGUCUGGGGAAAUGCCUGCAGCUUUUCUGAGUGUCUUUCCUCUUUCCCCAUCUCUCAGCCACUUUUGUGCUAGCUCUAAGCACAUAAGUGCUUUCUUGGGAGAAAACAGUGCUCUCCCUUAAUCUGGGUUGCGCAGAUCCCCAGUGGAAAGGUGAGUCGCAGAGGGAGACUGGAUGCUCUUCUCUCGUACUGGAGUUUCAUUCCCUUUUAUGAACCAAAUGCUAUCACAGAGGCUGCUUUCCCACCUCCCCCUCCACAGGGUCUGGAGUGUUCUUCUCUAUUCCUGUGAAUUCCUAUUUUUCUUCUUGAAUUGAAGCUCACAAAGUUUAUCUUUAUGCUUAUUUUUCUACUUCCAAGUGGCUGAGGCACACUGAAAGCCCCUAAUCCAUCAUUCUAGGAAAAAAAGGAUGGUUUAAAUAAAGGAAUGUUCAUAUAAAAUAUAUAUUAAUUAACCCAAACAUAUUUUGUUUGACAUGAGUUAGGUGAAUCUUUGAUACAUUAAUUAAUUUUAAAAUUGUUAAAUAAAAUUAGAAAUAUCUUCGAAUUUGCCAAGGUAUGUUUCUCUCCUGGGAUUACUGGUCAGUUUUAUUUUUUCCUCGGAUAGAUGUUUUAAGCCAUAAAUCUUGACAUAGACCUGAUGUAGACCUCCAUACCUUUCCCAGAUGUGGGACGGAGCAACUGGGACAGGUCCAUCCUAGCACUAAGGGAUGAUUAAGCCUAACUUGUAGUCGUUGUACAACCAUAGACAUGGUUGAUGCUUCAAGAGAAAGAUCUUGAUGGAAAGGGGUAAAUGUAAAAAUUGAUCAUAUGAAUUGGGUCAUUCUUGUCACACCAAAUAAAACCAUCAAGAAGCCAGGGGGAGGAGGCAUUCAGGGCAAAAACACCACUCCAAAGGCGUAAUUCUCUGCAUGCCUGGCUGCUGAAAUUACCUGCUUUAAGCUGAAACCAGUUUUAUCGAAUGGUCACUGAAACAACCUCUUGCAACACUAAGACUAGUUUUACCCACCACUGUCCCUCACCUAUCAGAGCCUGCCAGCUCUCAAAAACCUUACUGGUGCCAGUGAGCUUUCUCAAAGAGAAAUACAUACCGUUUUACUCUCUGUCUCCCUUUUUAUAAAACCUCUAACUUUCUCUUUAUGUUUUGGACAUACUAAAGACACCCAUUCUUCAUGUAUGUGUCAAAUUGUAAUACUUGAAUAUCAAAUAAAACAUUUUAAUUUC